AAAUUAUCACCGUGAUUGUUUAGGACUCAUCUUCCCUCUCUUCCCUCUUUUCUCAGUUUGCAAUUGCGGCAUAUUUGGGCAAAACUACCACAAAAUAGCUGUCGAUUCGAUUCGAUCUGAUCUCAAUUUUCUCUCCUCUGCCUGGACACAUGGAUAAUUGUGAUUGGUCUGCGCUACCCGUUGAUAUCCUUGGAGAAAUAGUGUUGAAGCUAGAGUCUCCUCAAGACAUUAUCUAUUUUUCUGCGGUUUCCAGUUUGGUUCGUCGUUUUUUGGGGGGUUUGGUUUGCCAGAUUGUCGAUUUUGGUGUUACAGGAAAUUCUAUCCCAUUUUCUCGAUUUCCAUCUGCUCCUUUCUCACACAUUCAACAGAGAAAGAAAUUUAGAAGGAGAAGGAGCCCUAAAUCUGGUGAAAAGGUUUGAUUGACUUCUGUGAACACUCCUUUGAUUUACUUCUCUCUCAACAUCACCCAAAAGCUCUAAAAUUUAUUUUUUGUCGUAUUCAAUUUGACGACGAAUUUGGGCGUUCGUACCUCCCUCGAGAACGCCAGCUUUCUGAGCGGCUCCAUCGACGUUGGGUUUCGGUACUCCAUCAUCCCCUUUUCUCGGAUCUUCUAUCUUCAAUACUCCCUCUUCUUUCGCUCAGAAUGUUCAGCAGCAGCAGCAAACGACGCCCUUUUGGUAGCAGUUGAGUACCAGAUUCGUCUUCAAUUCGACGUUCAUUCUCUUGAGCACGAUGAAGAGAAUAGUCACAGUUGAAGAAAAUAACGAUUCAAGAUUGAAGGUUCAGUCUCCCGAACAUUGAAUCAGGUUCUGUGAAUUCAGUAUUUAACGCUACAUUUGAAAUUGAAGCAGAAAGGGGAAGCACUUGCUAAGGUUUGUUUACUCAAUUUCCCCCUUUUUAAAUUUGAUUUGUGCUAUUUUUUUUGUUGUUGUAAGUUCUGAAUUUAUUUUGCGUUGCUCUUUUAAGGUGCCGGGUCUUUUUAGAUUAUCAGUUUCUGGAUUAUAUUUGAUUUAUUGUUCAUGAAUUUCUGUAAAUUUUAUGGAUAUUUAUGAGUUUCUUCUGGUUUAUUUGUGGUUCUGUUGUUACAUUAUUGCUUGGAUCUAAUCAUCUUCGCCAAAUCAGUUUUCUAAGUUCCACCGAGCCUGAUUUCUAUUGCAUUCUUAUGGAUCUUAAUAAAUCGUUAGAAUAUUUACUUUAGUUUUUAAUGGCUUUUGGCUAUUGAAUUAUUUAUCUGGAGAUUGGUUAUUCUGUUUCCCAGUUCUUUUAGCGUUUUGCUGUUUGAUUUUGGAUGUGGGUGUCAUGAUAAUGCUUGUGAGCAUUAUCUUGUUUUUAUGUGGUAAAUCUGUAUUCAGCUGGUAAUUAGAGGCCAAUUUCCUUAUGCUAUGUAUUUCCAUGAGCAUAUUUCAGACCCUGAAGCCAAAGUUUCUAUAAUUGUAUGGCUAAACAAGGGACUUCCCAACUGUCACAAUCUGUAUAUACCCAGAAAUGCCCCUGUAUUAUUUCACUAUGCCCUCAUAAUACCUCCUAUGUGUUCCUGUAACACCAAAAUUACCCCCAUAAUGAACAGAAGGCACUCCCAACUGGGAAAAGCUCAUGAUUAGACUCUAUGUUUAAUUUUACGGACUUGAAAACUCCAAGAUAAUAUUCCAUUUCAGUUUCUUGUAUGUUGUCAGGCCCUAGAAUGGCAGUAGUGAACUGGUGAAAGUUGUGGGAAGUUUUUAGCAAGAUCAAUAUGGAUUUAGCCUUUUCCGGGGGUUUCAUUAGUAUAUAUUGCCUCUAAGCAUAAAUUUUGUUGACUUUGUGGAUAUGUGGUUCAUUGAAGUCAUUGUAUGGUUUUGUUACAGACCUGUCUGGGAAGCGAGUGAGGAGUGGAGCUUAAUAAGUUUGAUUUUAUUUAUAGCUUAUAAUUCAUUGUAAAAGCUUUUUCAAUUCGUUUCCUAACAUCUGACAUUGAUUUUGAUUAUAUUAAAUAUGGACUAAGAGAUUUUAGUUAUACUGAUUUUAAUAUAAUAAAAUGGUUAAUUAAGUUUUUUUCAUAGUAACCAUUUUACGUGUUUUGGGGGUCUCAUUAAUUGUGGCUUGAUCUGAUCAUUUUCAUGGAAUCCCAUAUUAGGUGUAAAGAAUAUUACAGAUUUACAAUACUGUAAAGAAAAUCAAAUUCAUUGUAAAGAAUAGAAUACUUAGCAUCAUGUGAGAAAAUGUAAGAGCAUAAGAUAGAUAGUGGCUAUGCGCUUUAUAAUUUUCUGUUUUGUUAAUAGUUCUUGUUGCUUUUGGCCUAUGCUGCCUCGGGAUAUCAGAAUGUUCUUCAAGAGAACCGCAAAAUGUUCAACAUAAUGCAAGACCUGAAGGUGGACAUGGGAAGAACUCUACCUUGAAUCUUCUUCCUACUGAUUAUUUAUGAUUAAGAACUUGUUAUUUUCUGCUCUCUGGCACCUCUCUUAUAGGUCUAUGAUUAAGAACAUGGGAAAAUGUACAUCUUCUUAUGAAGACACCUCUCUUAUAGGUCUAUUUUUUCUGACCCUGUGAUGUGUGUUCUAGCUUUGGAUCUGGUUCAAGGUCCUCUUCUUAAAGGUGUAUGUUUUCAGACCCAGGCCUUACCCAGAUCUGACCCACAUACAUUAUAUUUUUCAUUUUUAUAUUACAAGAUGAAAAUCUGAAACACCUAACAAGUUAACUGGUUUUCCCUAAUCUGACUCUGAAUUGUGAUGGAACUCGGGUGAUUUGUGUGACCGCUUGCCUUGACAAUGUUGGUGAAGGUUUCACCUUUUGUUUCUUACAUUAGCUUAACCAACUUUAAACUAUCAUACUUCCUCCGUUUUUUUUUAAAUGACACAAUUAUUUAGGCAUGUUUGCCAAUACACAAUUUCAAAUAUUAAUAUCUCUAAUUGUGGAUCGGAAAAAAUUAUAAAAAGUUGAUAGUUAAAUAAUAUUUACUGAUACGAAUCUAAUAAGACCCCCACACGAUUAUGUUUUUUUUUUAUUUAUAAACCACAAAAAGAAAUCAAAAGUAUUUGUGUGAAUAGUAUAUUAAGCUAUGAAUAUGAAAAGUAGCAAGUUCAACACCCAUUUUGGACAUUAGACCCAAUAGACUCUAUGAAUCUUUCAGAGUAGGAUAUGGAUCUACAAAAAAAAUUAAAAAAUAUAUUACUACAGAAAGGGUACGGCUCGAGGUUUUACUAGACCCUAUCAAUUUUCAUUCCUACAGCAGCCGUGAACCAUGCCUUCAUGUCACAUAUUAACCAUGCCUCUCUGGAAAUCUGUAUUCAGAUUUACUUCUCUGUUUGUGUUUGUCGUUUGUUUCUCUGUAAAUAUUUUGUAAAAUAAGAACGCAGUUUUAAUAGUCAUUUUGCCCUAUGAUAACUAGGUGAGGAUACACCAGAGGUUUGUGGAAAAUGUUUCUAUGCGACAAAGUGCUAUUAUCAGUAAUGCAACCUCAAAUAUACAAAAGGAUCUUCUUAGUAUUAUCAGUAAUGCAACCUACAGCUGCUUAAUAUGAAGCACGGGUACGCCUCUAAGGCGCCGUUUCCCGUACCGGGUACGGGUACGGGACGGAUUCGCCUGUGAUUCGUACCCAGAACGAUUCCAAAGGGCCGGGUACGCGGGUAACUUUUGGGGACGGCUAAGGUGAAGUCGGGGACGGGUUGGGUACGUUUUUCAGGGGAAAGGCACGUACCCAAACAACCCAGAUUCACAUUUUAGGGUAUUACUUUUCGAAAUUGGACAACCUAUUAAUGAGAAGCAGGGAGUAAAGAUCUGGGAUUUUGGUCGCACAUGUGAGGCGACUUCCAUGGAAGUCUUCUCGUCCUUGGUGGUCGGAAAGUGCUAGAGAACCAGAAAAAAUGAAAGGGGCGAACUUAGACUUGAAGAAGUUAAGAACUGAGGAACAGAGACUUGAAGAAGUUAAGAACAGAGGAAGGCGAAGAAAGCGGACGAAGAAGUGUAGAAGAUGCUUUUAUUUAUUUAUUUUCUUUAUAUAUUAUAUUUACAGCUGUUUUUAUCCCUUUAUACUUCUAUGACUUACAGCUGUCUCUGUUGAUGUGUUUUACAUGUGAGGAAGCCAGAAACAUUCAAUAUUCAGUGGGCCCAUCUCUUUACAUAUUUAUUUGUUUAAAAUUCAUUAUAUCUGUUUUUAAGGGGUUGUAAGACUGGUAACUUGUAAUACGCCAUUUGACUAGGAUAUAAAAAAGGUACAGUAGAUUUUUUUUAUCUCUCUAUUCAUUUUUCUUUAUUAUUUUAUUUUUUUGUUUUCUUAUUUACUUAUUAUAAAAUUUAGUUAAAUUCUUAUUUUUUUUCCCGAAUUCACCCCGUACCCGUUUUUUGCAAUUUUGAUUUUGCCGUUUUCCGUCCCCGUACCCGUCCCGGUAUCCGUCCCCGUACCCAUUUCCGUGCAACCUGAUGUAUUAGCCUCGAAACUCACAUUUUAAUUUAAACUUCAGAUUAGUCCUGCUGUUAGUCAUCAACUUUGCUUGAUCUUGUACGAUGCAUGUCCUAAGAGUAAAUGUCUUUCAUUUUAUCUUCGGAUGGUUUUCCAUAGCAACAGGUCUGGUUCUUCCAUUCUGUCCUUAAUUUUGAUUUGAAUCAAUUUAAAAGUCUUAUAUAAGUUGUUAAUUUAUUGUCUAAUUUCAUGAUGAUUAGAGGGCUUGGUUUCUUCACCCGGAAGAUGGAUGUUGGAUUUUGCUAUGAUCAUUGCAGACUAUGCCAUUCCGGCAUAUAUAGCAGAAUUUACUGCAAAACAUAUUCGAGCAGGGUUUUGUAAUUCUACAUGUGGUAACUGAUCUAUACCCAAAUUAUUAAGAACAAGUACAACUCUUGUAUAAACUUAAAUUUAUAAGAACUUAUGGUUGGUAACAUUGACUUAAUUGUCAUCCUUUCUUAGUUAAUGAUAACAGUCGGAGCAUCUGUAGCAAUUCUCAUAGUCUAUUUGGCAUACUUCAGCUAUAAUUGGAAUAUGUUCUAUUAGAAGAAAAAUGUUGUAAAUGAAGAUAAUUUCAUAUCAAUUGUCAAUGAAAAUAAAAAAGAGUGUUCCACAAUGAAGAUAAUACUCAAAUGUUUAAUCUUCCAUUACAGCUAAACAGUGAGACACAGUUCUCAAUCAUGUUGUUCCAUCAUCUCUUCUAAUUAUUUUCAGGUGGGUAAUGUUUUACUUUGUAAUUUUUCUGGUGUUACAUUCGAUUAGACUCUUGUUUUUUUUAAAAAAACUUUCUAAUACUACUUCCCAACUUCAUAAACAUCUUGAAAUUAGAUCACUUUCUUUAAUGGUAAUGGAGAUUAGGAUGAGUGCAAUAUGGUGUUGGAUUAUCAUGCUGCGACUAAAAGUCAGAGGAGGCCCCUUGCUAUUUCAGAGAAUCGAAUUCACAUACUGAUGGGGUGCUAGCAGGUAUUGGACUUCCCAUUAGCCUGCCCCAUGGCACUACAUUCUUCUAGGGGGGCACUGGCCGAUUAGACGUUGGUCGUUUUAUCAUGGACUUCUUCUGAUCAAAGAACUUGAUCAAUGAAAAAGGGUUCAUCCUUGUACUCUAUAUGAUGUGUGGCCCAAGCAAAAAGGAGCUGAUGUGAACUUUUAAGCCUUAUCUUGUUAGUUUUAUGUUAUUUAUAGAUUAUAAGUGGGAGACUGAAGUUUUUUUUUGGAUGAUUGCAUGAAUUAUUUUGGAAUUAUGCAAUUGGUUAAUGCUGAUUUUUUUGCACCGAAAUAUAGCUUGUUUAUGCUGUUUUUUUUAUAUAUAAAAAAAAGGACUCCUGUUAGGUAUUAAAAAAAAGGCUCUCUCCAGGUUGCGUGCACCAAGUUCAACUCGAAUACGAGUCUCCAUCAACUUUACCGAAUGGCUCUGUGUAUUGUGGUAUAUUGUAUUUGGAGGGAGAGGAACUACAGAAGAUUUCAACAGAAACAACAGAGUAGCAGCUCCCUAUUAAAAGAAAUGCAGGUUAUGAUGUGCCUUUGAUGUCUACAGUUCAAGAAUGUGCAAGGUUAUAUGCCUUAGUUUUUUUAUCCGGCUUGUGUCUUGGUUUCGUCUAUUGGCUUCUUUGCACUUCUGUUCUGCUACCUUUUGUUCUGGUACAAUGUUGUGGUUGUUCCUGCUGCUGCAGAUCUUAUGGGCAGACUUCAGAAGCUGCUGACUGCAGUUCAGUUUCCAGGCUCGUUAUUUUCUUUGUGUGGUCCAGUGGCGGCUGCUGUGUAGGCUGGUCCUUUUUCCUGCUCUUAUUUUUGUGCUUCCUCCUGCUGGUGCAAUAUAAUCUUGCUGUUGGUGCUUGUCUUCACGGGUGCAGGUGUUGUUCUGUUGCUGUUUGGGCUGCAUCAGUUCUUUCCUAUGCAUUUGUGUUGGCUUGCUGAUUGGGUUGCUGCUGUCCUGCUAUUGCUGCUGGUCUUUGCUGGUGCUCGACUGCCGUUGGGCUUUUGUUUGUUUGUUUGUACGGGUUGCGGGUGUGCAACCCAUUCUUUUUUUUUUUUUCCGUUUGUAUUUGUUUAGGACUUUCAUUUUUCUACCUGUUGGUCAUAAAAUAUUCGAUUUACCGGAAAAAAAAAAAAAAAAACCUCUCUCAGACAUAGUGAAAAAAAUAUAAAAUUAGAUAUCACGGAUUUUAUUAAAUUGUUAACUUAAAUAAAACUCUUAUAUCAACGGCUAUAUUUUAUA